rnacentral:lncRNA from 1 species
UCAAAAAAGAGCUGAGCUUCAGUGCCACGACGACAUUCCAAUGUGUUGUCUGUUUUUGAAUUGAACAAGCAGUAAAGGUUAUAAAGUGUCUAUCUAUUUCAAAAAGAUCAUGAGAAACAGGACUGACCCCGCCUGUCCCUGACAGCUUAUGCAUUAUAUGGUUUUUCAUUCCAGCAUUCAAUGAUUUCAAGUGUCUCACACACAGAGUUGAUUAU